UGGCCACAUCACAUUGAAACAGUGGUUCCUAUACAAUCACAGGAAGUUAAGCAAUAUCAAGCCUAGUCAGUACUUAAAUGGGUGACUGCUUGGGAAUACCAGGUGCUGUAAG